rnacentral:lncRNA from 1 species
AGGGAAUGGAUUUAAGGACACACAGCAGGAGCUGGCUGGAUUCAUUUUAUUUUGGGGGUAGUUGGGGGAGGAAUAUCAUUUCUGAAAUGCCCAAGGAAUGAAGGGAGAGGAUAUGGAUUUCUUAAACAGUUUUUGCAAGAGGAGCGGUGUCUUGUUUUGCAGGUCCUGGCGAAGAGCACCUAAAACCCUGAGGAUUUCCUAAGUGAUAAGAGAGACAAAGGAAUUAAAUGUUGGAAGUCCUCUUGAUUAUCAAGACACACAAGUAACUCGGAAGAUCCAACAACAGGUCAUGUUUCACUUAGAUGUGAAGUAAGUUGCUUGAAAGAAAAACUUAAUCUUGCCAUGUGCACCUUCCAUAGCACUUACUUCGCUUUCAUAUGGAGAGAUUCCACUGUUGUCCUAAUAUCUUGCCCCAUCUGAAACAUACCUAGUGAUUGCUGUUUACUUGAAAGUUUGACCAGAUGCAGUGUCUAGUUGUUCAUGGAGAAAGACAAAGGUAAGGACUCUAUUAAGAAUAAUAUGUACAAGCUUAUUUGGUAUAACCCAACAAAAUAAAUCUUUUUCUAAGAAAAGCUAAUUAAAAACUGAUAUCAAUUGUAUUAACUAUUUCCAGUGAAGGAAGUUCUAGAUAGAGUAAGUACAUCAGAAUUGCUGAGAAUACAAGUAACUCAAUCACUACGUUAUAGCUACUUGUACUACACCAAAUGACAGACAUAGGCUUCCCUAAUAUCAUUUAAGUUUAAAGAUACAUGGGUAAAAACC